CGUCAUUUGUUAUGGCGGUAAAUUCUUCGCGAUCAGGUAUCCAUGGGUUUUAACGUGCGUGAGCAUCUCGCGCAUACCACAAGUGCCCUUUCUCGGUGUAACUGUCUGCCCUAGGGCUUUCACACACUCUUCACGCUAGUUCACAGAUGUCAACCUAAGGAGGGUGGAUCACCAGCAGAACAACUACUUGGAAGACAGGCACGAUCCACACUAUCGUUACUGCAACCACAAGACAGGUAGGAGCAGCAGUCCCCUCAGUAUCAGAGGAAAUAUCAGCCUGAUCAGAAAGUAUGGGUCAUUGUACAUACACGGCGGCAUCCACAUUGGAUACCAGGCAUGAUCACUCAUAACAAAGGAAGGGCAAUGUACGCGGUCAUCUGCACUGGAGGCGUUGUCCAUAUCCGACACCAAAACCAAAUCUGGCUACGAAGGGACAACGACCUCUCACCUCAAUCUCUAACUCCAAACACUGUUUCAGGUCACACUGGGGAGAACGUCCAAAACCCAGCCAUCAUGGAGGCACGCCCAGCAGCACCCAGCCAUCAGCAAUCGGAAACACUGUAGGACGUGGAUUCUCGCCCAGGCUCUCCUCUUCCAGACAUCGAAGCAAUGGACACUGAUCGGGACAGAUGCCUCAACCUUGGUGUCUCCGUUCUUGUGGAGGGGGUGGAAUGCCGUAACACACAGAGCCAUGCAAAUACAACGGGCGGCUACCACUGCUGAAUAAGCCGCACCUGCAACUUAGUUCCGGCGCGUUCCGCCAGCUGGCACUAGAGGCGUUUCCCACCAAACAUGAAAGCAGCCACGGAAUAUGCAUGCGCGCAACCCCUUUUUCCAACGCGGAUGGUAAUAUGAUGACAUCACCAUCCGCCAAUCGGGUAUCGCCAACAGCCGCCAAUCCUCACAACAGAAUCCGUGGAGGAAGGCUAGAGCCACCGGGUUAAAUAGCUGGCAGGAAAGAAAACAGGCUUCUUUUGACCCGCCAUGGACCGCCACCAGGAGGAAACAUCGUCGCAGCUGUAUCGACCAGGUGCCCGUCUUCAAUAUGCCAGUCUUCGACCCGGAAGCAGUGUCCAUCUAACUCCU